rnacentral:tRNA from 1 species
GAUUAAAUGGCUGAAAUAAAAGCAAUAGACUGUAAAUCUAUGAAUAAGAAUUAUCUUUUUAAUCA